rnacentral:rRNA from 1 species
AUUGAACGCUGGCGGCAGGCCUAACACAUGCAAGUCGAACGGUAACAGGAAGCAGCUUGCUGCUUCGCUGACGAGUGGCGGACGGGUGAGUAAUGUCUGGGAAACUGCCUGAUGGAGGGGGAUAACUACUGGAAACGGUAGCUAAUACCGCAUAACGUCGCAAGACCAAAGAGGGGGACCUUAGGGCCUCUUGCCAUCGGAUGUGCCCAGAUGGGAUUAGCUAGUAGGUGGGGUAACGGCUCACCUAGGCGACGAUCCCUAGCUGGUCUGAGAGGAUGACCAGCCACACUGGAACUGAGACACGGUCCAGACUCCUACGGGAGGCAGCAGUGGGGGAUAUUGCACAAUGGGCGCAAGCCUGAUGCAGCCAUGCCGCGUGUAUGAAGAAGGCCUUCGGGUUGUAAAGUACUUUCAGCGGGGAGGAAGGGAGUAAAGUUAAUACCUUUGCUCAUUGACGUUACCCGCAGAAGAAGCACCGGCUAACUCCGUG